rnacentral:rRNA from 1 species
ACCAAAAUCGCAAUAAAUACACCCGAUCUUAUUAACAAUGGGAAGCGAAGCAGGUUUGAGCCUAGUUAGUACUACGAUGGGACACUGCCUGGGAAUACCUGGUGGUC